ACUCUGCUCUGUGGUACCAGAUACAUAGUACAGGACUCUGUUCUGUGGUACCAGAUACAUAGUACAGGACUCUGUGGUACCAGAUACAUAGUACACGACUCUGUUAUGUGGUACCAGAUACGUAGUACAGGACUCUGUGGUACCAGAUACAUAGUACAGGACUCUGUGGUACCAGAUACAUAGUACAGGACUCUGUUCUGUGGUACCAGAUACGUAGUACAGGACUCUGUGGUACCAGAUACAUAGUACAGGACUCUGUGGUACCAGAUACAUAGUACAGGACUCUGCUCUGUGGCACCAUACCAGGCAUUCAUCUUUCUUUCACUAUUCUGAUACUUACUAUUCCUCCUCCAGAGGCUGCUGUCCCCCUGGCUGGUCCCCUGGCUGGCCCCCUGGCUGGUCGGCUCAGAGGCCCAGGCAAACAGAGCUCCAUGGCCAUCUACAAAGACAGAUCUGAUGUCCAUGCCCCCUGGGACCCCUCCGAUCCUGGGAGGGCCAUGGUCAGAGGCAGCCUACCCCUGGAGCUCAGAGAGUGGCAGCAGCAGACAGGCAGAUCCCAGGGCACCUUGAUCUUGGGUCCUGAUGGUGAGGUUAUACAGAUGUCCCCGUGGGACCCUAAUAAUACGUCUGCCACUGAGGACCAGCCCGCCGUUACCUCUGCUCUGGACCAGGUCACACGAGACCAUGCUCUCCAGGUCCUAACCUCAGAGGGGGAGCUACCCUGGGUCCUACUGAUGCAAACACAGCCUAUAGCCACAGGGGAAGCCAGUAAUCCCGAAGGACCCCCAACCAACAUGGAACAAUGUGAAUUAUUCCAAACGGUAGGAUCUGAUGGACAAACUGUCCUGUCUGGUGGCCAGAGACACAGACAGGGACCUGAAUCUUCCAGGAACAGAACUACAGGGAAACAGCUGCACCCAGACACUCAGAGACCUGGAGGAAGCGAUAAAGACAUGGCUGCUGUCAGCUACAACCUCCGCAGCAGGACAGUGGAGAUACCAAGACAGGAGGAAGGGAAGGAGGUGAGGAGGGAGGAAGAUGAGGAGACGUCUACAACAAGGAAGAGGAGCCAGGAUCGGGUUCAGCCAGGUCCACAGAGGAGUGGGGUAUCCUCCUUACCUACCACAGAAGAAGAAGAGACCAAAAACAUCAACCCCCACAAACCUUCACAGCCCAUCCCCACAGGCCACUCUACAGAAUGGGCCUUCUCUCAGAACAGAAAUCCCAAACACUCAGAGGGACCCCUUACACCCAGUGGCAGGAAAGGAGGCCAUUCUAAGAAAACAAACGUGACAGUAGAUGAGCAGAAUCCACAGCAGGCAGAGGGACAGACACAGGAAACAGGGGAACAAGCCAGCAGAGAGAAGCUGGAGGACACAUUGAAUAAAGAGGUGGGAUCCCAGGACUCUCCUACUGUACAGAAAAUGGUACGUCAAGGUGUUCAAAUCUAAUUUCAUUGGUCACAUACAUGUAAAUAAGAAUUUGUUCUUAACUGACUUGCCUAGUUAAGUAAAGGUUCAAUAAAUAAAUAUACUUGGUUAGAAGAUUAUAUACAAUUGAAAUGCUUGUGCUUCUAGUUCCGAUAAUAAUAUCUAUAUCUAUAUCUAUAUAAUAAUAUCUAACAAGUAAUAUCUAACAAUUACACAACAACUACCUUAUACACACAAAUCUAAGUGAAGGAUUGGAAUAAGAAUAUAUAAAUAUAAAUAUAUGGAUGAGCGAUGUCAGAGCGGCAUAGAUCAAGAUACAGUAGGAUAGUAUAGAAUACAGUAUAUACAUAUGAGAUGAGUAAUGUAUAGACUGAGAUACAGUAGGAUAGUAUAGAAUUCUGUAUAUACAUAUGAGAUGAGUAAUGUAUAGACUGAGAUACAGUAGAUAGUAUAGAAUACAGUAUAUACAUAUGAGAUGAGUAAUGUAUAGACUGAGAUACAGUAGAUAGUAUAGAAUACAGUAUAUACAUAUGAGAUGAGUAAUGCAAGAUAUGUAAACAUUAUUAAAGUGACUAGUGAUCCAUUUAUUAAAGUGGCCAGUGAUUUCAGGUCUGUAUGUUGGCAGCAGCCUCUCAAUGUUAGUGGUGGCUGUUUAACAGUCUGAUGGCCUUGAGAUAUAAGCUGUUUUUCAGUCUCUCGGUCCCAGCUUUGAUGCACCUGUACUGACCUCGCCUUCUGGAUGAUAGCAGGGUGAACAGGCAGUGGCUCGGGUGGUUGUUGUCCUUGAUGAUCCUUCUGGAUGAUAGCAGGGUGAACAGGCAGUGGCUCCGGUGGUUGUUGUCCUUGAUGAUCUUUUUGGCCUUCCUGUGACAUCGGGUGCUGUAGGUGUUCUGGAGGGCAGGUAGUUUGCCCCCGGUGAUGCGUUGUGCAUACCUCACUACCCUCUGGAUAGCCUUGCGGUUGUGGGCGGUGCAGUUGCCGUACCAGUCGGUGAUACAGCCUGACAGGAUGCUCUCAAUUGUGCACUUGUAAAAGUUUGUGAGAGUUUUAGGUGACAAGUCAAAUUUCUUCAGCCUCCUGAGGUUGAAGAGGCGCUGUCGUCGUUGUUGGUAAUCAAACCUACCACUGUAGUGUCGUUUGCAAACUUGAUGAUUGAGUUGGAGGCGUGCAUGGCCACGCAGUCGAGUACAGGAGAAGGCUGAGAACGCACGCUUGUGGGGCCCCAGUGUUGUCCCAAGUGACACCCCAUUCCCUACAUAGUGCACUUCUAUUGACCAGAGCCCUAUGGGCCCUAGUGCACUAUAUAGAGUGCCCUUAAUGUUUCCAACACAUAGUACUGUAGUUUAAUAACCCCCCCCCUGUAUCCAACACAUUAUACUGUAGUUUAAUAACCCC
rnacentral:lncRNA from 13 species